CCUACGGGAGGCAGCAGUAAGGAAUCUUCCGCAAUGGGCGAAAGCCUGACGGAGCAACGCCGCGUGGGCGAUGAAGGCCUUCGGGUCGUAAAGCCCUUUUCUGUGGGACGAUAAUGACGGUACCACAGGAAUAAGCCACGGCUAACUACGUGCCAGCAGCCGCGGUAAUACGUAGGGGGCAAGCGUUGUUCGGAUUUACUGGGCGUAAAGAGCGCGUAGGCGGUUUGAUAAGUCAUGGGUGAAAGCCCUCAGCUCAACUGAGGUUACGCCCAUGAAACUGUCGGACUAGAGUUUAGGAGAGGAGAGCGGAAUUCCCAGUGUAGCGGUGAAAUGCGUAGAUAUUGGGAGGAACACCGGUGGCGAAGGCGGCUCUCUGGACUAAUACUGACGCUGAGGCGCGAAAGCUAGGGGAGCAAACGGGAUUAGAUCCCCGGGUAGU
rnacentral:rRNA from 1 species